rnacentral:misc_RNA from 1 species
CAGCUGUUAGGCAAGUUAAGUUGAACAAGAUUCUCUGCUUGAAAAUUGGGCGUCAGAGAGCUCAGAGGAUAUCUAUCCCAAUGAAGAUACCUCAACUUAUCAGAAAGAAACUUAAGGCCAUCAGGCAGAUGCACUUUGCACUUUACACUUAUUUCCAACUAUAGAAUUAUGGAUUUUGAGUAGUCUAAGAUUAUACAUCCUCUUGAAGGCUUUGGAACUCAAGUACAUUUCUCCAAUUUUAGCUGUGUCUAAGAAUAUUCCCUCAACUUUGUCAGAUCCCAGAUUUUUGGUCAACACUUGACAAACAUCAGUAGGACACCACAAUCUACUGCGCUUGCCCAACUCUUUAACAGAUUCUUGGCGAACAAUUUCAUGAGCCAAUUCUUGCAGCAACUUAUGCAUCUCCAACUUGUUUCCUAGGAUGGUAAUAAGGCAUUUAUCAACAAGAACGCUAAUUCCAAUGCCUGCUGAGAAACCACAACCAUUUAGUAUUCUCUUUACGAAGUCAAUUUGUUGCCCCUUGAAAAAACAUGCAAUAUCAAGAAAUAUAUUUUUCUCUUCGUCAUCUAGCGCAUCAAAACUUAUUCUCAACAUAUGAAAAAUUUUACGCUGAGGAAUUCUUCCAAGUUUAUCCAAUGCGCUUUCCCAAUCUUCUCUCCUUCUGUCAAACAGGAAGGAACCCAAAACUUUAAGUGCCAAGGGGUUUCCUUGAGCAUAGUUCACCACCCUAGUUGAUAGCUCCAAUCUAUCAGAAGUGGGAUAAUUUUUCUUAAAAGCAUUCAAACUGAACAAUUGAAGAGCUUCAUCA